CAAUAGCGUAUAUUAAAGUUGUUGCAGUUAAAAAGCUCGUAGUUGAAUUUCUGAUAGAAGGGAGCGGUUCCGUAUUCUUACGGAUACUUGCUCGUCUUCCGUCAUCCUUGGGCUUAGUCUCGCUGAUAUUAACUUAUCGGCGUGUACGAUGCCCAUCGUUUACUGUGAAAAAAUUAGAGUGUUCAAAGCAGGCUUAUGCCGUUGAAUAUAUUAGCAUGGAAUAAUAAGAUAGGACUUUGGUACUAUUUUGUUGGUUUGCGCACCAAAGUAAUGAUUAAUAGGGACAGUUGGGGGUAUUCGUAUUCCGUUGUCAGAGGUGAAAUUCUUGGAUUUACGGAAGACGAACUACUGCGAAAGCAUUUACCAAGGAUGUUUUCAUUAA
rnacentral:rRNA from 1 species